rnacentral:rRNA from 1 species
UUGUGUCUUCGAGUCGUUGAUUUCACACUGCCGAGAAAAGCCUCUAGAUAGAAAAUAGGUGCCCGUACCGCAAACCGACACAGGUAGUCAAGAUGAGAAUUCUAAGGUGAGCGAGCGAACUCUCGUUAAGGAACUCGGCAAAAUGACCCCGUAACUUCGGGAGAAGGGGUGCUCUUUAGGGUUAACGCCCAGAAGAGCCGCAGUGAAUAGGCCCAAGCGACUGUUUAUCAAAAACACAGGUCUCUGCUAAACCGUAAGGUGAUGUAUAGGGGCUGACGCCUGCCCGGUGCUGGAAGGUUAAGAGGAGUGGUUAGCUUCUGCGAAGCUACGAAUCGAAGCCCCAGUAAACGGCGGCCGUAACUAUAACGGUCCUAAGGUAGCGAAAUUCCUUGUCGGGUAAGUUCCGACCCGCACGAAAGGCGUA